AGUGAACGCUGGCGGUAGGCCUAACACAUGCAAGUCGAACGGCAGCACAGUAAGAGCUUGCUCUUACGGGUGGCGAGUGGCGGACGGGUGAGGAAUACAUCGGAAUCUACUUUUUCGUGGGGGAUAACGUAGGGAAACUUACGCUAAUACCGCAUACGACCUACGGGUGAAAGCAGGGGAUCUUCGGACCUCGCGCGAUUGAAUGAGCCGAUGUCGGAUUAGCUAGUUGGCGGGGUAAAGGCCCACCAAGGCGACGAUCCGUAGCUGGUCUGAGAGGAUGAUCAGCCACACUGGAACUGAGACACGGUCCAGACUCCUACGGGAGGCAGCAGUGGGGAAUAUUGGACAAUGGGCGCAAGCCUGAUCCAGCUAUACCGCGUGGGUGAAGAAGGCCUUCGGGUUGUAAAGCCCUUUUGUUGGGAAAGAAAAGCAGCAGGUUAAUACCCCGCUGUUCUGACGGUACCCAAAGAAUAAGCACCGGCUAACUUCGUG
rnacentral:rRNA from 1 species